rnacentral:rRNA from 1 species
UCGNCCCUUUCCNAGNAGUCAUANGCUUUGUCUCCAAAGAUUAAGCCAUGCAUGUCUAAGUAUAAGCAACCUAUACGGUGAAACUGCGAAUGGCUCAUUAAAUNCAGUUAUCGUUUAUUUGAUAGUACCUUACUAGCAUGGAUAACCGUGGUAAUUCNAGAGCUAAUACAUGCUAAAAACCUCGACUUCGGAAGGGGUGUAUUUAUUAGAUAAAAAACCAAUGCCCUUNCGGGGCUCCUUGGUGAAUCAUAAUAACUUAACGAAUCGCAUGGCCUUGCGCCGGCGAUGGUUCAUUCAAAUUUCUGCCCUAUCAACUUUCGAUGGCAGGAUAGUGGCCUACCAUGGUAUCAACGGGUAACGGGGAAUUAGGGUUCGACUCCGGAGAGGGAGCCUGAGAAACGGCUACCACAUCCAAGGAAGGCAGCAGGCGCGCAAAUUACCCAAUCCCGACACGGGGUGGUAGUGACAAUAAAUACUGAUACAGGGCUCUUUUGGGUCUUGUAAUUGGAAUGAGUACAAUUUAAAUCCCUUAACGAGUAACAAUUGGAGGGCAAGUCUGGU